rnacentral:rRNA from 1 species
GACAGAGGCCUCGAGCGUUAGGCGGAAUCACUGGGCUUAAAGCGUGUGUAGGCGGAUCGUUAAGUACCUUGUGAAAUCCCACGGCUCAACCGUGGAACGGCUGGGUAUACUGGUCGGUCUUGGGCCAUUCAGGGGCGACUGGAACAAGCGGUGGAGCGGUGAAAUGCGUAGAUAUCUGGAGGAAUACCGGUGGCGAAGGCGGCAUCCUGGACCGACAUUGACGCUGAGGAGCGAAAGCUAGGGGAGCAAACGGG